rnacentral:rRNA from 1 species
CAAGACAACUUUACGGAGUUGACGAUUGACGGAGCGAAGCGACGUCAAAGCGUUCAUUAAAGUCGAGUUGGCUUAGGGAUACGUUCGUUGGGUAGGGGAGCGUUCUGUAAGCCUGUGAAGGUGUGUCGUGAGGCAUGCUGGAGGUAUCAGAAGUGCGAAUGCUGACAUAAGUAACGAUAAAGCGGGUGAAAAGCCCGCUCGCCGGAAGACCAAGGGUUCCUGUCCAACGUUAAUCGGGGCAGGGUGAGUCGACCCCUAAGGCGAGGCCGAAAGGCGUAGUCGAUGGGAAACGGGUUAAUAUUCCCGUACUUGGUGUUACUGCGAAGGGGGGACGGAGAAGGCUAUGUUGGCCGGGCGACGGUUGUCCCGGUUUAAGCGUGUAGGUGUGUGUUCCAGGUAAAUCCGGUUCACUUUAACACUGAGGCGUGACGACGAGGCACUACGGUGCUGAAGCAACAAAUGCCCUGCUUCCAGGAAAAGCCUCUAAGCAUCAGGUAACACGAAAUCGUACCCCAAACCGACACA